CCUACGGGUGGCAGCAGUGGGGAAUAUUGGGCAAUGGCCGCAAGUCUGACCCAGCAACGCCGCGUGAGGGAAGAAGGCUUUCGGGAUGUAAACUUCUUUUAAGGGGGAAGAGAAGAAGACGGUACCCCUUGAAUAAGCCACGGCUAACUACGUGCCAGCAGCCGCGGUAAUACGUAGGUGGCAAGCGUUGUCCGGAUUUACUGGGUGUAAAGGGCGUGGAGGCGGAGAGACAAGUCAGAGGUUAAAUCCACGGGCUCAACCCGUGACGUGCGUUUGAAACUGGUUCCCUUGAGUGUCGGAGAGGUAAGCGGAAUUCCUAGUGUAGCGGUGAAAUGCGUAGAUAUUAGGAAGAACACCAGUGGCGAAGGCGGAUUACUGGACGAUAACUGACGGUGAGGCGCGAAAGCGUGGGGAGCAAACAGGAUUAGAUACCCCAGUAGUC
rnacentral:rRNA from 1 species